rnacentral:tRNA from 1 species
GGCUCUGUGGCUUAGAUGGUUAAAACACCUGUCUAGUAAAUAGAAGAUCCUGAGCUUGAAUCUCAGCAGUGCCU